UAAAGGAAGCGAUUCCGGCUACGGAUGGUCAUGCGUCGCAUUAGCUAGUUGGCGGGGUAACGGCCCACCAAGGCGACGAUGCGUAGGGGUUCUGAGAGGAAGGUCCCCCACACUGGUACUGAGACACGGACCAGACUCCUACGGGAGGCAGCAGUGAGGAAUAUUGGUCAAUGGCCGCAGGGCUGAACCAGCCAAGUCGCGUGAGGGAUGACGGUCCUAUGGAUUGUAAACCUCUUUUGUCAGGGAGCAAAGGGCGCCACGUGUGGCGCUUUGCGAGUACCUGAAGAAAAAGCAUCGGCUAACUCCGUGCCAGCAGCCGCGGUAAUACGGAGGAUGCGAGCGUUAUCCGGAUUUAUUGGGUUUAAAGGGUGCGCAGGCGGAAUGUCAAGUCAGCGGUAAAAUUUCGGGGCUCAACCCCGUCGUGCCGUUGAAACUGGCGCUCUUGAGUGAGCGAGAAGUAUGCGGAAUGCGUGGUGUAGCGGUGAAAUGCAUAGAUAUCACGCAGAACUCCGAUUGCGAAGGCAGCAUACCGGCGCUCAACUGACGCUCAUGCACGAAAGCGUGGGUAUCGAACAGGAUUAGAUACCCUGGUAGUCCACGCAGUAAACGAUGAAUACUAACUGUCCGGGCAGAAUGAUGCCUGG
rnacentral:rRNA from 1 species